rnacentral:tRNA from 1 species
GCGAGAGUGGCGGAAUUGGCAGACGCGCUAGAUUUAGGAUCUAGUGUCCUAGGACGUGGGGGUUCAAGUCCCCCCUCUCGCACCA